rnacentral:lncRNA from 1 species
CCCUCAAAGUGUUUUCUGGACUUGCUUUGUACCUGAUGCACAGGAACUGUUCUCACUGGCUUGAGUUGACUACUUGCCAUCUGUUCCCUGAGCAUUCAUUGCUGAAUGAAAGGGGAGAGAAAGUGAAAAGAGAGAUGGGGAGAAAGAGGAAGCUGGAGAAAUAGAGGAAACAGCUGGAAGCUGAGGAGGGUGUGAGACUCAUGUAAGGUCAGUAAAACAAAAAAACAGAGGGCAGGGUCAGGUCCUAGGGGUAGAGAGCUAAUUAACUUCUGCAAGCUAUUUGAUUAAAGCAUUGUAUACUUUGUUAAAGAGACCAAAGGUACUUCAAAGGAAAUUCUGGAUUCUUCUCCAUCUACCUUAGUAAAUUGUUCAUUGGGUCAAAAUCCAUCCUGCCCUCCUGGAAUUCUGGUUUUGUUUGUUCAGAUCUAAUUCUUGCUGCCAGUGCUCCGGCAGGUGAUGAAGUAUUUGUGGAGAGCAGUAGGUAAACUUGAUGCAUUUAUUAUUUAUGACUUAAAAAGUAAAUGU